UACGUAGGGUGCAAGCGUUAAUCGGAAUUACUGGGCGUAAAGCGUGCGCAGGCGGUUAUGUAAGACAGAUGUGAAAUCCCCGGGCUCAACCUGGGAACUGCAUUUGUGACUGCAUGGCUAGAGUGCGGCAGAGGGGGAUGGAAUUCCGCGUGUAGCAGUGAAAUGCGUAGAUAUUCGGAAGAACACCAGUGGCGAAGGCGGCCAACUGGACGAAUACUGACGCUGAGACUCGAAAGCGUGGGGAGCAAACAGG
rnacentral:rRNA from 1 species